AGUCAGGGGUUUCCAAGCACUCAGCCUCAUCCUAAGUGUUCAUGUCAACUAGCAAAGGUCUGCAUUUUCUGAUAAAAUAACUUAUAAAACUUCCAUAUUAAGAGCUAAAAUGGUUUGGAAGACAAAGAAGUGCUGAGAAAGGAAAGAAAACUGAGAUUCUAAAAUGUUGAAUAACCUACACAAGUUCACACAGCAAGAAAGCGACAGGACCAGGGUUCAACUUCCUCCACAGCAGUGUUUGCUCUCCUCUAUAGCAACCACAACACAGCCAACUCUUUGCAGCAGAGAAAAUGUAAACCCUGGAACUUUCACAGAGAGCCUGUGCUGGGAAGCCUCCGGGACCAUCUGCUCCUCCAGAAGGCUUGCAACUGUUCUUUUCAU
rnacentral:lncRNA from 1 species